GUGGGGAAUAUUGGGCAAUGGGGGAAACCCUGACCCAGCAACGCCGCGUGAGGGAAGAAGGUUUUCGGAUUGUAAACCUCUGUCCUUGGUGACGAAGGAAGUGACGGUAACCAAGGAGGAAGCCCCGACUAACUACGUGCCAGCAGCCGCGGUAAUACGUAGGGGGCAAGCGUUGUCCGGAAUGACUGGGCGUAAAGGGCGUGUAGGCGGCCGAUUAAGUCUGGAGUGAAAGUCCUGCUUUCAAGGUGGGAAUUGCUUUGGAGACUGGUUGGCUUGGGUGCGAAAGAGGUAAGUGGAAUUCCCAGUGUAGCGGUGAAAUGCGUAGAGAUUGGGAGGAACACCAGUGGCGAAGGCGACUUACUGGGCCGUAACUGACGCUGAGGCGCGAAAGCGUGGGGAGCGAACAGGAUUAGAUACCCGGGUAGUCC
rnacentral:rRNA from 1 species